UCCUAAGCACCUGGGCAGCUUCGAAAGCUUCAUGCAUCAUAUAUACACGCUCGGUGUCGAGUUAAUACCUUGCAUUAAAUUGUCAUUUUAUAGAACAUUUGCUUUGUGAUACUGGGCCGUAAAAAAAGUGACUUCCGAGAAGAGCGGAUAAUUAUUGUUUCGGAGGCUGUGUGAACGUGACUGCUGUCACAGGGAUGGGCCCAGGCCAAGAAGUUUAUAAUGCAGCUUGAAAUUGGGCGAAAUCUACCUGGGACCAGCUGAACAACAGGUUGGGCACAGCGGGAAAGAUUAAAAAAAAAAUCAACAACAUGGACAGCUGUUAAUUUUCAAAGAAAAACGACUAAAAAAAAUUCUAGAAUUUUAAAUCGCAUUGGUGGCUUGUGGUUAUGAACUUGGCCUGAUUUAGAUGAUUGUACCAAUCAAUUGUAGUUCAUCUCGAGAUUACUGAUAUCAAUCCAUCUAAUUUCGCAUCAGUUGAGUUUCAAAUGUCAACUAACAUAUCUAUUAAUAGAUGAUCAAACUUCA